UGGGGAAUCUUGCACAAUGGGCGACAGCCUGAUGCAGCAAUGCCGCGUGAGGGAAGACGGCCUUCGGGUUGUAAACCUCUUUCAGUUGGGAAGAAGGGUGAACGGUGAAUAGCCGGGCCACUUGACGGUACCUUCAGAAGAAGCUCCGGCUAACUACGUGCCAGCAGCCGCGGUAAUACGUAGGGAGCAAGCGUUGUCCGGAAUCAUUGGGCGUAAAGCGCGUGUAGGCGGUUACAUAAGUCUGUUGUGAAAGUCGGAGGCUCAACCUUCGAAAGCCGAUGGAUACUGUGUGACUUGAGUACGGAAGAGGAGAGUGGAAUUCCUGGUGUAGCGGUGAAAUGCGCAGAUAUCAGGAGGAACACCAACGGCGAAGGCAGCUCUCUGGGACGUUACUGACGCUGAGACGCGAAAGCGUGGGGAGCAAACAGGAUUAGAUACCCCCGUAGUCC
rnacentral:rRNA from 1 species